GUUGAACGCUGGCGGCAUGCCUAACACAUGCAAGUCGAGCGGAUGAAGGGAGCUUGCUCCUGGAUUCAGCGGCGGACGGGUGAGUAAUGCCUAGGAAUCUGCCUGGUAGUGGGGUAUAACGUCCGGAAACGGUCGCUAAUACCGCAUACGUCCUGAGGGAGAAAGUGGGGGAUCUUCGGACCUCGCGCUAUCAGAUUAGCCUAGGUCGGAUUAGCUAGUUGUUGGGGUAAAGGCCUACCAAGGCGACGAUCCGUAACUGGUCUGAGAGGAUGAUCAGUCACCACGGAAUUGAGACACGGUCCAGCAUACUACGGCAGGCAGCAGUGGGGAAUAUUGGAGAACGGGCGACAGCCUGAUCCAGCCACGACGCGUGUGUGAAGAAGGUCUUCGGAUUGUAAAGCACUUUAAGUUGGGAGGAAGGGCAGUAAGUUAAUACCUUGCUGUUUUGACGUUACCAACAGAAUAAGCACCGGCUAACUUCGUG
rnacentral:rRNA from 1 species